GACCAUUCAGGUGGCUUAGUGGUUAUAGCGUCCACAUCGAAUGCAGGAGGUCGUGGGUUUCAAUCUCUCCCGAGUCA